rnacentral:rRNA from 1 species
AUACCGAGGGUGCAAGCGUUAAUCGGAUUUACUGGGCGUAAAGCGCGCGUAGGCGGCUAAUUAAGUCAAAUGUGAAAUCCCCGAGCUUAACUUGGGAAUUGCAUUCGAUACUGGUUAGCUAGAGUGUGGGAGAGGAUGGUAGAAUUCCAGGUGUAGCGGUGAAAUGCGUAGAGAUCUGGAGGAAUACCGAUGGCGAAGGCAGCCAUCUGGCCUAACACUGACGCUGAGGUGCGAAAGCAUGGGGAGCAAACAGGAUUAGAGACCCCAGUAGUCC